rnacentral:rRNA from 3 species
CAACUUUCAACAACGGAUCUCUUGGCUCUCGCAUCGAUG